rnacentral:rRNA from 1 species
GAUGAACGCUGGCGGCGUGCCUAAUACAUGCAAGUCGAGCGAAUGGAUUAAGAGCUUGCUCUUAUGAAGUUAGCGGCGGACGGGUGAGCAACACGUGGGUAACCUGCCCAUAAGAAUGGGAUAACUCCGGGAAACCGGGGCUAAUACCGGAUAACAUUUUGAACCGCAUGGUUCGAAAUUGAAAGGGGGCUUCGGCUGUCACUUAUGGAUGGAGCCGCGUCGCAUUAGCUAGUUGGGGAGGUAACGGCUCACAAAGGCAACGAUGCGUAGCCGACCUGAGAGGGUGAUCGGCCACACUGGGACUGAGACACGGCCCAGACUCCUUCGGGAGGCAGCAGUAGGGAAUCUUCCGCAAUGGACGAAAGUCUGACGGAGCAACGCCGCGUGAGUGAUGAAGGCUUUCGGGUCGUAAAACUCUGUUGUUAGGGAAGAACAAGUGCUAGUUGAAUAAGCUGGCACCUUGACGGUACCUAACCAGAAAGCCACGGCUAACUACGUGCCAGCCGCCGCAGUAA